CCUACGGGAGGCAGCAGUGGGGAAUAUUGGACAAUGGGCGAAAGCCUGAUCCAGCAAUUCCGCGUGUGUGAAGAAGGCCUUCGGGUUGUAAAGCACUUUAGUGGGGGAAGAAACAGCUUGGCCACACCAAGCCUUGACGGUACCCCAAGAAUAAGCACCGGCUAACUCUGUGCCAGCAGCCGCGGUAAUACAGAGGGUGCAAGCGUUAAUCGGAUUUACUGGGCGUAAAGGGUGCGUAGGUGGCUAUUUAAGUCGGAUGUGAAAGCCCGGGGCUCAACCUCGGAAUUGCAUUCGAUACUGAGUGGCUAGAGUUCGGUAGAGGGCGGCGGAAUUUCCGGUGUAGCGGUGAAAUGCGUAGAUAUCGGAAGGAACAUCAAUGGCGAAGGCAGCCGCCUGGGCCUGGACUGACACUGAGGCACGAAAGCGUGGGUAGCAAACAGGAUUUAGAUACCCUGGUAGUCCACGCCGUAAACGAUAGAGAACUAGUACGUUGGUUCGUUUUACGUUAACGUACGGUGUCGCACGACUAACGACGAGUAAGUUACUUCCGUCCGUCGGGUAGGGUACGGCCGGCCGAACGGUUAGGUAAACGUAACUAAAUAAGUAAGUUAGUUACGGUCGUUGAGACGUUGCCGACGGACGACGACGAGGGAGGAGG
rnacentral:rRNA from 1 species